GUAAAUUACCCGGCGCGCUGACGCUAUGCAGAAGCGCUCCGGGAUCCGACUGCGCCGCGGCGCGGAGGGGGCCGGCUAGAGGCUCCCAGUUCUUUGCCCCAGAUUUCCAUCAAGGUUGUUAGCUUCUCUGGACCUGGGGUUUCAAUGAGAAGGCGACUAAGCGAGCCCUAAUAAGAUGCCUGACAGGGGAAAGAAACAAAAAUAAAGCAAACAGAAAGAGAGAAAAGAUUUACCCUUUCUGAGCUGGGAGGUGAGCAAAGUACAGAGCCAAGAGAAAAAGCUAGCAAGGUCCGCAGAGGAAAGAAAGGGGGAGGAGGCUGCGAGGCACGGACUUCGAAGCUCUCGAGAGCCUAGGCCGCCACUUGGGAGGUCCCGGCCUCAGUCUGGCCAGGCCAACCACAUCCCCGGGAGGAUCGGAGCUAGGGCGGGUCACAAUUACACCUCGGCUCCAGGCGAGGGCUUAAAACCCAAGUGGUGGGGACCGAAGUCUGGAAGCAAGGCCCCCGCGGUCAUGGGGUGGGGGAGGCAGGCCCGUGCACAGGAACCUUUUUACAAGACAUGUGGGUACAAGAAAACAAAAUCAAAAUAAACUCCUUUCAUCCACCACGGCCAAAGAAAACAAAAGCUGUCUUGUAGAGGAGCCCAGAGCUGGCCAGAGUAGCUCUUCCGGAGAAGGACCGAAGGGCCGGGAAAAGGGAAGAAUCUCCAUCUCCGUUGCUUCUGCAGAGCAAAGGGUGCUUGGCUCCUGCAGACUCCCUCCCAUUCUCUACCGGCACCGACCUCAACGACGACACGACCUGGAUGAAUGGAGUAUCCGGAGAAGGUUUUUGAAGACGUUUAGGAGGAAGGGUGAGUUUUCUGUUGAGAAACUCAAUCUGCCAUACAGUAGCGGGCCCCAUCUGGGAUCUGUCACUGCUGACAGCACCACAGGGCACAGCCGUGAUCUUCUGCACAGCCUGCACUCCUCGAAAUACCCUCCUUAAUCAAAGGAUGUCUGCGCGCCGGCGCUCAGCUGACCGCGCCAAAGCAGAGAGGCCUAAGAGUUCCACCCCUCCCGCCCCCUCCCCAGGCUCACAACCUCCCCCAACCCUGUCUUUCCAGAGCAUUAAUUAAAAGCGGAAAAAAG
rnacentral:lncRNA from 1 species